rnacentral:misc_RNA from 1 species
UCUAGACACACCAAAGAGAAUACAAAUAAAAUGUACUGUCGUACGCGUAGACGGGUUAUCGCUCUCGUAUUUUGUAAAAUAUUUAUCGCUGUUUUAUCGAGUUCCGUUGUAAAUUAUACUUCAGCUACACGAUAAAGGAUCAUACAUAGACAGUUUAGUUUGUACAUUAGACGAUUUUGUUCAUUUUUUUGUGAUAAAUAUGUGUGUCUAGUGAAGUGUAUAUUUUUUGUUGUUUUUGCGACAUCCCGGCGCCGGAAUGUCUGACGAGCUAGAAGCAAGGAUGUGGGAUGAAAGUGGCUCCCGAUACGAGUCUAGAAGUCGGGACACGUUCUUUGAAUCAGCGUUCGCUUCUUCGGAACAUUUGGACAGAGCACCAUUGUUAGCCGAGGAGACGUACUCCGACGUGCCGGUGACGUCGGCUACGGAACCAGAGCACUGUCACUGGCCACAAGCAGAGCCCCCCAGUGCGAUACCGCAGCUGCUGACCGCCCUCGUACUGUGCGCAUUCUUUAUGGUAUGCGAGCUGAUAGGCGGAUACUUGGCGGGGAGUUUAUCGGUGAUGAGUGAUGCGGCUCACAUGCUUAGUGAUUGCGGGGGGUUCGCGUUGGCUCUGUUGGCCUUCCACUGCGCGAAACGACCUCCCGACGUGCACAUGUCAUACGGAUACAAACGCGCCGAGGUUCUCGGAGCGAUGGUGUCGGUUCUGCUGAUAUGGAUACUGACUGGCGUGUUCGUCUACGUGGCGGCGGCUCGGCUUCACUCCGGCGAGUACACCAUCGAGCCGGACAUGAUGAUGAUCGUGUCCGGUUGCGGGGUAGUCUUCAACGUAAUCCUGGCGCUGGUGCUCCACGGCUGCGCCUCUGACAUCGCCCACCACCACAGCCACGGCGGGGCGGCGUGCCCAGGGGGCGGGGGGCGCGUCCCGGGGGGUUGGGGGCGGAGACACAAGCCCGCAGCCAACGGCGCGCUCCUCAACGGCGAAUACACCAUGAAGGACCUGUCCAGUGCCGAGGCCAACGUCGUCUCUACCGGCACCCGGAACAUAAAUUUACGAGCGGCAUUGAUACACGUGAUAGGAGAUCUCAUCCAGAGCUGCGGAGUACUCCUCGCCUCUGUCCUCAUCAAGCUCUACCCGGCCGCUAAGUUCAUGGACCCGGUGUGCACGUUCGUGUUCAGCUUCCUGGUGCUGCUCACGUCCGCCAGGGUGGUCCGGGACGCGCUCGGCAUGCUCAUGCAGGGAGUGCCUAAAGGGUUCAGGUACGGCGCUUGCGUGGCGGCCCUGCGCGCAGCUCCCGGGGUCCGCGGUGUGCACUCGUGCCACGUGUGGGCGCUGUCCACGCACCACACUUUACUAUCGGCGCACGUGGUGGUCGACGACCUCGCGGACCGGGACGCCGUGCUGUCACACUGCCAGCGCGUGGCGCGGGACUUCGGCGUGGAGUCAGCCACAUUCCAAAUCGAGAGGCACUCGCCGGCGGUGGAGAGCUGCGUUGUGUGCCGCUCGCAGCCGGCGGACAGGCCCUGACACCUGCCGACCCUCACGAGGUAGACCGUCACCAGCGGGAGCUCCUCGAUGUGAUGUCACAGAUAUGCUGAAAGAAUUCCGUUGACGCCGCUUGAGGCUCACGAGACGCAACUGAUGUUACUAAAGCUUUGGAAGUAAACUUUGAUGGAACUAUUCGACUGAUUUACGGUACAAGUUAAGUUGUCACUGAAAGUUUUAAAAACUUUAUAGACUUUCACAAUUCAAAAGUUUUUUUUUAAA